rnacentral:rRNA from 1 species
GAGUUUGAUCGUGGCUCAGGAUGAACGCUAGCUACAGGCUUAACACAUGCAAGUCGAGGGGCAGCAUGAACUUAGCUUGCUAAGUUUGAUGGCGACCGGCGCACGGGUGAGUAACGCGUAUCCAACCUUCCGUUUACUCAGGGAUAGCCUUUCGAAAGAAAGAUUAAUACCUGAUAGUAUGGUAAGAUUGCAUGAUAGUACCAUUAAAGAUUUAUCGGUAAACGAUGGGGAUGCGUUCCAUUAGGUAGUAGGCGGGUAACGGCCCACCUAGCCGACGAUGGAUAGGGGUUCUGAGAGGAAGGUCCCCCCAAUUGGAACUGAGACACGGUCCAAACUCCUACGGGAGCAGCAGUGAGGAAUAUUGGUCAAUGGGCAGAGCCUGAACCAGCCAAGUAGCGUGAAGGAUGAAGGUUCUAUGGAUUGUAAACUUCUUUUAUAAAGGAAUAAAGUCGGGUAUGGAUACCCGUUUGC